UAUAUACUCCCUCCGUCCCAAAAUUCUUGUCUUAGAUUCGUCUAGAUACGGAUGUAUCUAAUACUAAAACGUGACUUGAUACAUCCGUAUUUAGACAAAUCUAAGACAAGAAUUUUGGGAUGGAGGGAGUAUCAG
rnacentral:pre_miRNA from 1 species